rnacentral:rRNA from 1 species
AUGGUGGUGGCUGCGAUCUCCUGCGCAGGGGAAGGAGAGGGCAGCCUGGUGGUCCACCAAAUGGGGGAGGGGAGGUCGAUGCGGUCAACGGGAAGAGCAGCAGCAGGACGAAGCGGACGUCAUCGGCCUUGGCACGGAACAAGGGGGGCGGCGCUCCUGCUCGAGCAGAGGGCUCGAGCGCGGGACUUGAGGCACUGGAGGUGA